GGCUGGGACGCGCCGGCGGCGGGGAGGCGCCAGGCGGGGAGCGGAGCGGAGCGCGGAAAGUCCCUGGAGCGGUGCCAGGAAGAGGCGGCUCCGCGGCGCGGAAAGCCCCGGCCGCCG
rnacentral:miRNA from 12 species